CGGGACGGGUGAGUAAUGCUUGGGAAUCUGGCUUAUGAGGGGGAGUAACUACGGGAAACUGUAGCUAAUACCGCGUAGUGUCGAGAGACGAAAGUGCGGGACCGAAAGGCCGCAUGCCAUGAGAUGAGCCCAAGUGGGAUUAGGUAGUUGGUGGGGUAAAGGCCUACCAAGCCUGCGAUCUCUAGCUGGUCUGAGAGGAUGGCCAGCCACACUGGAACUGAGACACGGUCCAG
rnacentral:rRNA from 1 species